rnacentral:tRNA from 1 species
UCAUUGGUUGUCCAGUGGUUAAGACUCUGUACUUCCAAUGUGGAGGCAUGGGUUCAAUCCCCGGUCAAGGAA